rnacentral:piRNA from 1 species
UCCGAUAUGAGACCCUCUCAUCAGGGAGCC